GGCCAGACAGUGGUGGCACACAC
rnacentral:piRNA from 1 species